AUGAAACUGCUUAGUUGGAACUGCCGGGGUUUGGGACAGCCCCGCGUUCAAGAGUUGGUGCGCUUGGUAAGCACGCACCGUCCGUCUAUUGUUUUCCUUUCAGAAACCAGACAAAAUAAAAAGAGGGUCAGCAACCUCAGAUGGAGGUUAGGUUUUAAGAAUUUCCUGCUGCAUGACGGCAAGGGAAAAGGGGCUGGAAUAGCUCUGUAUUGGGAUGAA
rnacentral:rRNA from 1 species